UACGGAGGGUGCAAGCGUUAUCCGGAUUCACUGGGUUUAAAGGGUGCGUAGGCGGGCAGGUAAGUCAGUGGUGAAAUUCUUGAGCUUAACUCGAGAACUGCCAUUGAUACUAUCUGUCUUGAAUAUUGUGGAGGUAAGCGGAAUAUGUCAUGUAGCGGUGAAAUGCUUAGAUAUGACAUAGAACACCUAUUGCGAAGGCAGCUUACUACGCAUAUAUUGACGCUGAGGCACGAAAGCGUGGGGAUCAAACAGG
rnacentral:rRNA from 1 species